rnacentral:rRNA from 1 species
UACGUAGGGUGCAGGCGUUAAUCGGAAUUACUGGGCGUAAAGCGUGCGCAGGCGGUUUGCUAAGACAGGUGUGAAAUCCCCCGGGCUUAACCUGGGAACUGCGCUUGUAACUGGCAAGCUAGAGUGUGGCAGAGGGGGGUGGAAUUCCACGUGUAGCAGUGAAAUGCGUAGAGAUGUGGAGGAACACCGAUGGCGAAGGCAGCCCCCUGGGCUAACACUGACGCUCAUGCACGAAGCGUGGGGAGCAAACAGG